rnacentral:rRNA from 1 species
UGGGGAAUAUUGGACAAUGGGGGCAACCCUGAUCCAGCAAUGCCGCGUGUGUGAAGAAGGUCUUCGGAUUGUAAAGCACUUUCGACGGGGACGAUGAUGACGGUACCCGUAGAAGAAGCCCCGGCUAACUUCGUGCCAGCAGCCGCGGUAAUACGAAGGGGGCUAGCGUUGCUCGGAAUGACUGGGCGUAAAGGGCGUGUAGGCGGUUUACACAGUCAGAUGUGAAAUCCCCGGGCUUAACCUGGGAGCUGCAUUUGAUACGUGUAGACUAGAGUGUGAGAGAGGGUUGUGGAAUUCCCAGUGUAGAGGUGAAAUUCGUAGAUAUUGGAA